AAUCUUCCGCAAUGGACGCAAGGCUGACGGAGCGACGCCGCGUGAGCGAAGAAGGUCUUCGGAUCGUAAAGCUCUGUUGUCAGGGAAGAACAAGUACCGGAGUAACUACCGGUACCUUGACGGUACCUGACCUAGAAAGCCACGGCUAACUACGUGCCAUCAGCCGCUGUAAUACGUAGGGGGCAAGCGUUGUCCGGAAUUAUUGGGCGUAAAGGGUGCGUAGGCGGCCUUUUAAGUCAGAUGUGAAAGCCCACGGCUUAACCGUGGGACUGCAUUUGAAACUGGAGGGCUUGAGUAUCGGAGAGGGUAGUGGAAUUCCCAGUGUAGCGGUGGAAUGCGUAGAUAUUGGGAGGAACACCAGUGGCGAAGGCGACUACCUGGACGAAAACUGACGCUGAGGCACGAAAGCUAGGGGAGCAAACA
rnacentral:rRNA from 1 species